rnacentral:misc_RNA from 1 species
AAUUCAAAGUUCCCUCUUGUGCACUGUUCAAAAGAAAUCUAACUGAUUAGAUUUCCACACCAAGAAUGAGAUAAAUAUGAUGUAAAUUGUUGGAAAAAAAAUGUUCAAGGUACAACAGAAACAAGCCAAUGAUACCAACAAUUGGUUAACCUUCCCAUAGAUUACCUUUAUAGAAUCAAGUAUUCCUAUAACUCAGACAAAAAAAAGUAGAGGUAAAUUGCAAAUUAAUUUUGACAUGACCAGAAAAUGAAGGAAAAAAUGCAAAAAUAAUUUCAAAAUCAAACCUCAACAACAAAUAAAUUAACAAGUACUAAAGAAAUUUAACUGCAAAAUUAAAAGUCAUAUGUUCGAAAACUUUGAAUGAAGCUUGUUAGAAGUAAACAUACAACACUAUUAACAUAACUAUCAAUCCAAAUAAACUGAAUUCAACCCUAAUUCCACACCAAAUAGAUUUAAGCCAUAAACAGAGAAAAUAAACGAUUUAAGCAAUUAAAUUUUACAUGUUAGUGCAACUUGUAACGGAUCAAUCACCCACCCAAAAUUUGGCGUACGAUUAUGUUGAACUUUCAAUUAAGAUAAGAUCCUAUAGACUGAAUUUUCACAGAACCCAUUUCUAGAUACCGCACAUUGCAGGUAAACCAAGAAAAGACUAAACAAAUUGUAUUCAUUAAAAUACAACAUCAGGUCCUUCACAAAGACCAAGAGAAAGAAGAAGGAAAAAAAAUAAAAUCACACCAACCUAUGAACGAACACAGAAGGCUUAACAUCAAAUACAUCAUUCAAGGCAUAAAUUAUUGAACCAACAACUUAGAUAAAAUCAGAGCUGGGUUUGGCUUCUUGCCCCAAAAGAAAAAAAAAAUUCAAUAAACUUGACACACAUAAUG